AACCUAGCACACCUGCGGUGUGUACCUGCGGAAGGAUCAUUACAAGUGACCCCGGUCUAACCACCGGGAUGUUCAUAACCCUUUGCUGUCCGACUCUGUUGCCUCCGGGGCGACCCUGCCUUCGGGCGGGGGCUCCGGGUGGACACUUCAAACUCUUGCGUAACUUUGCAGUCUGAGUAAACUUAAUUAAUAAAUUAAAACUUUUAACAAUGGAUCU
rnacentral:misc_RNA from 1 species